rnacentral:lncRNA from 1 species
CUAUUUUAAUUCCCAUCAACUAAUAAGGCUUAGCUUGGUAUUGAGAUCUAUCUAACGCUAUUAGAUAAGAUGAAGUUGAGAAAAAAGUAUAUGUAGAUAUGCUUCUGCGUUCUCCGAUAGGAUCGUAAAAAAUAUAUCAUAAGUGAUUAAUCGUGAUAUGCGAAACGCAAUAUUACGUAUAGAAACAAACAGGUUAUUUUUUCAUCGUCGACGUUUCUCACUGCACGAACGUAAUUUUCUCGUAAUUCCAAACGAAGCCUUAAAGUUGCAGCUUAAUUUC